rnacentral:rRNA from 1 species
UACGAAGGGGGCUAGCGUUGCUCGGAUUCAUUGGGCGUAAAGGGUGCGUAGGCGGCGCGGUAAGUCGGGUGUGAAAUCUCGGGGCUUAACUCCGAAACUGCAUUCGAUACUGCCGUGCUUGAGGACUGGAGAGGAGACUGGAAUUUACGGUGUAGCGGUGAAAUGCGUAGAUAUCGUAAGGAAGACCAGUGGCGAAGGCGGGUCUCUGGACAGUUCCUGACGCUGAGGCACGAAGGCCAGGGGAGCAAACGGG